AGAGUUUGAUCCUGGCUCAGAUUGAACGCUGGCGGUAGGCUUAACACAUGCAAGUCGUGCGAGAAAGUAUCUUCGGAUAUGAGUAGAGCGGCGGACGGGUGAGUAACGCGUAGGAAUCUACCUAGUAGAAGGGGAUAGCCCGGGGAAACCCGGAUUAAUACCGUAUACCUCCUUCGGGAGAAAGAAGGCCUCUCUUUGAAGCUUUCGCUAUUAGAUGAGCCUGCGUAAGAUUAGCUUGUUGGUGAGGUAAAGGCUCACCAAGGCGACGAUCUUUAGCUGGUCUGAGAGGACGAUCAGCCACAUUGGGACUGAGACACGGCCCAGACUCCUACGGGAGGCAGCAGUGGGGAAUAUUGGACAAUGGGCGCAAGCCUGAUCCAGCCAUACCGCGUGUGUGAAGAAGGCCUUCGGGUUGUAAAGCACUUUAAGCAGGGAGAAAAAGUUAUAAGUUAAUACCUUAUAACCGUGAUGUUACCUGCAGAAUAAGCACCGGCUAAUUCCGUGCCAGCAGCCGCGGUAAUACGGAAGGUGCAAGCGUUAAUCGGAAUUACUGGGCGUAAAGCGCGCGUAGGUGGUUUGUUAAGUUGGAUGUGAAAGCCCUGGGCUCAACCUAGGAACUGCAUCCAAAACUAACUCACUAGAGUACGAUAGAGGGAGGUAGAAUUCAUAGUGUAGCGGUGGAAUGCGUAGAUAUUAUGAAGA
rnacentral:rRNA from 1 species